rnacentral:rRNA from 1 species
UACGUAGGGUGCAAGCAUUAUCCGGAGUGACUGGGCGUAAAGAGGUGCGUAGGUGGUUAGUAAGGUGAAUAGUGAAACCUGGUGGUCCAACCAUACAGACUAUUAUUCAAACUCACUAACUCGAGAGUGGUAGAGGUAACUGGAAUUUCUUGUGUAGGAGUGAAAUCCGUAGAUAUAAGAAGGAACACCAAUGGCGUAGGCAGGUUACUGGACCAUUUCUGACACUAAGGCACGAAAGCGUGGGGAGCGAACCGG